rnacentral:lncRNA from 1 species
CCCCUCUUAUCGUACAUUCUCAUAUUGUCAUGACCUAAUCCUUGUCCCAGCUCUCACCAGCAACACCUGUCCCUCAUCUGUAUUUCUAGCAGGGACCAGAUUUUGGAGCUCCUUCUCUUCCUGACUUGCCAUGGAGACCUCUUUACUUAGAGGUCUCAGAGCAUUUCAAAGUCAUGAUAGCCAGCUCAAAACCAAUGUUCCUCCCAUUCAUCUUCUUUUACUUAUAUGCCCUUUGCAGUUGGUGUUAUCCCCUGUCCCAAAGCCCAAAGCCAUCCUAGACCCCCAGCUCUCCUCCAUGGCCCGCCUACACUGUCCCUAAGACUCGCCAUUCCUGAGAACUGCCCGGCUCCCUCUCAGCCCCAGCUCAAAUCCCCUUCUUGCAAGACCUUAUCAUGAACUUCAGGCUAGAUAGAGUGUUCUCAUCCCACAGCACCAAGCUCCGGCAGACAGAUGGUGCUGGGCUUCGUGUGUUUCUCUGUCCCAUGAGCUGCAGAAUUACUCAAGGACGGGGCUGCCCUGCACUUCUGUAUCCUUGGUCCCUGACAUGGCAGCUGGCCCACGAGAGGAAACGAAUCACUGAAUGCCUUACAAAGCCCUUUCACACUCUUGCUAGGUUUUCAAAGCCUGGAACCCUCCAUGGAAGUGAUGCCUCACGCUUCGAAACCUGAGGAGGUGAACACAUGUUAGCACAGCCCCUGGCCCUUUCUAAGUUUGAAGAGUUCCCCCACUCUAUUCGUCUUGAUUGAAAAGUAGGGUGCCCAGACCACUCCCACCACAGGGGAUGAAACUGUCAAACACUGGUUUUCCAGCCUCCCUGGCCCCCCACCCAUCAGAUCCACCCAGGGUGGCUUUGGUCCAGGAGCUUGUGAAGCAACAAGGGACAAGGAGGUCUCCUUUUGGUGACAGCAACAGCCAUUUCCCAACCAGAAUCAACAUACAGUGUGGUCGGGGGCACUUCCUCCAGUUUCCAGGCCCUGAGUGGGAUUCUCAACAACCCGACAACCGUGUAAGCUUCCCCUCCUUCCUUCAACACACAAGCGCCUGUUCUUCCUGGCUCAGCUGCAGGCAGCUUCUUUGCUUGCAACUGAGAACUUGACCGAUGAAACAGACAGAAUCUUUGGAGGCAAAGAAAUGUGAAAGGGGUCAGUGAUAAACCUGGUCAAGACCACUGUUCCAAAUGAAGUGUGAUUAUGAAGAGGCAAGCAUAGGUUUCAUGUCUGUCCUCAAAAAAAUGUCUGGAUACAGUUCCAAAGCAGGAGAGUCGCAAUGCACUUGGCAAUAUUGACAUAAGCACUGUCUUCUUGAUGACUGAUGGGCUGAGGGCCACAUGCUUGGAUACCCGCUCACAAGAUGCUCCCACUGACUUCAUCUCAGCUUGUUACACGGAUACUCUAACAGCUCUCAGAAACAGUUCCUGGCGUUUCUUUAACUCUACAGGUGAAGUGCAAAGUCACCUUCUACACGUGUCUACUUUCAUGAUUAACUAUCACUGAGACACAUGAUUGUGUCUCUUCCACUGGUGGGUCUGCCAGCCUCGUGCCACCCCCAGUCUUCGGGAGCAGGAUGGAGUGUGAGGCUUCAGGUGAAGCGGUGACAAGGGUGGCUUUCUGGUACAGAUUCAUAUUCAAAAACUUUGGGCAGUAUCGGAGCUUGAUCUGCCCAUACUGAAUUCUGAACAAGUGGGUAAAUGCAUAGCGUGUGGUCACAGCAAUCAGCCCUUCCCUGGCACCCCUUGGUAGCAGGACAUGGUCUCUGAUCAUUUCCAUCCUGACUGCAUCGCAACGGGAGCCCGGGCUGCCCGGCGGCGGUGCUCUGGCCACGGCUCUGAGAGGAAAGGGGAAAGCCAGCUCUUACCUGCCUGUGCAGCUGUGAUUAGGGCUGUGUUCCCCUCGCUGUCCUGCCAGUUGACGUCAACGUGGGGGCAC